UACGUAGGGGGCGAGCGUUAUCCGGAUUCAUUGGGCGUAAAGCGCGCGUAGGCGGCCGCCUAAGCGGAACCUCUAACCCCGGGGCUCAACCUCGGGCCGGGUUCCGGACUGGGCGGCUCGAGUGCGGUAGAGGAGAGCGGAAUUCCAUGUGUAGCGGUGAAAUGCGUAGAUAUAUGGAGGAACACCGGUGGCGAAAGCGGCUCUCUGGCCUGUAACUGACACUGAGGCUCGAAAGCGUGGGGAGCAAACAGG
rnacentral:rRNA from 1 species